rnacentral:rRNA from 1 species
GACGAACCGUGCGAACGUUGUUCGGAAUCACUGGGCUUAAAGGGCGCGUAGACGGGCUGACAAGUCUGGGGUGAAAUCCCGCGGCUCAACCGUGGAACUGCCUUAGAUACUGUCGGCCUCGAGGAAGGUAGGGGCAUGCGGAACUGUAGGUGGAGCGGUGAAAUGCGUAGAUAUCGUCAGGAAUGCCAAUGGUGAAGACAGGUGACUGGGCUGGUUCUGACACUGAGGCACGAAAGCGUGGGGAGCGAACGGG